AUGCAAGAACAAAUUUUCAAAUUGUUGAUUGAUCUCCAAAGAUGGUUUAGAACCAAUAGUUCAGUAUCAAAUGCAUUUUUUCGUUUUAAUACUCUAUACGAGAGUUAUCAAUAUUUAUCAAAUUUGUUCCUAUCUAACAGAACCCUAUUGGCUCAAAUCACAAAGACAUUGUUGAGAAAAAAAUGGAUUUUCCCAAAUGAGAUGGUUGUUACUAUCUGUUCCAAUAAAAUUGGUUUAACUGAAUAA